UCCCUGGUAGUAUAUCGGUUUAGUACACGCGCCUGUCAUAUAACUUUGCAUGGAAUUGACGCGCGAAAGCUGGGUUCGACUCCCAGCCAGGGAG
rnacentral:tRNA from 1 species